ensembl:lncRNA
GGGGUAUCCCUAUUCACAAGAGCCACUUCCUGUUUAUGGUUUAUGACGGGUCAUAAAACCCAUUGUGUAGGGAUGACAGGUGUAAUGCCUGUGGUGGACCUGCAGGGGUCGCUGGGGUGCGGGAUCUGUAUAGGCAGAGGUGUGUAUGUGGGUGUGAUUAGUGUAUGCAUGUGUGUGUGUGUGUGUGUGUGUGUGUGUGUGUGUGUGUGUGUGUGUGUGUGUGUGUGUGUGUGUGUGUGUGUGUGUGUGUGUGUGUGUGGUAUGCGAGGCCAGGGCGGCUGGUCUGUAGGGGUGUUAACAGGAAGAUCACAGUGCUGUUGGAAGGACGGCCAGCCGGCAAUGUGGACAGGGGGGGCGAGGCCCUUGAUGGCGGAAGUGGGCAUACAGACGAUGUCAUAGAGAGUGUGAGGUGGGACACAGUAGAUUACGUGAAAAGCGCUAUAUAAAUUGAAUCUAUUAUUAUUAUUAACAGAUAUUCUAGUGAUUUUCAUCUAACAUGGUGUAUUUGGAUCAACUUUAUUUUACCAUUAGUAGAUUGUCUGUCUAUGAUGCGUUGAGUGGGCGUAGGCCUGUAGGACCUACGUGUGCGUGGGUCCAGUACCUAUUGGACAGGCGUCUAUGACGUCGGGGCCUUAGGUGUGAAUGUCUACCGAGGGACUGCUAUCAGGCAUAAAUAUACGGGGCCCCGUGAUACGGGAGCGUACGACCUCCGACCCUGACGUUAGACACGCUAUUCUAAGUUAGUAAACGCGUCGUAGCAGUUGGAAGAAAAAAAAACAGCGAUCCGUCCUGCACAACUAUGCCGACUGACUCUGCGAUUACUUCACAGCGAAUUGCGGUGCCGGAGGCGAGAGCGUGAAACAGCAGCAGGGUCCACGUGGAAGUUUGCCUGAUAUUCGGCUCAACAUUCAAAGACCGAUUCUAGCAGACCAGACUAAUGUGCUGACAAGCGGUAGUUUUGUACCUAUCGAGGCCAAUGUCAUUCAGCGAACCCCCGGACCAAAUCGACUGUCCAAGAAGAAUUUGAAAAGAUCGGCGGGGGUAGUGGUGGCUAUACCCUGUACACCACUGGCCAUAGAACAGCUACAAAUUCCUUAUAAAAAGGCUCGCAAGGAUGCCACACAUAAUGGUUUAACUCCGGAGAAUAUUACCCAGGUUAUACAGGCAGUCAUAAAUCCGCAAAUUGCGCCACAUGGAGCGGCAUGGACUGAUCCCAAACACCGUGUGAUCGGGGACGUGGAGGUGUAUGUGCAUGAGUCGCCUACAGAGACCGUCACUGUGCAACCGGAUGGGACUAUACAGCACGCCCAUGGAGAUCCCCAGUGUGCGCCACCACCAGAGCUGACCGCCGACGAUUGGGCUGGUCUUGACGACAUCUCGUCCUGGACUUCAUCGUUGUUGGAACAUAUCGACUUCACUCCUGCGCAGUGGAUCGACUCUCCAGCUACAUCCGUAGAGGCUACCACCAGUGCAGAGCCUGUACAACACCAUCGUCAGCGUAAACUGGGGGUGGAGGCUGGUAAACGUGUUGACAGUAUAUAUCAGAAGCUCGAAGAACAGACGAAGAAGUCCUUCACGGCUCUCAGGGCCGAGAUUGCGCGUGAUCGUAUGACUGCUGAAUCCCCAAACACUGAGACCAGUAAUGGUCGUGCUAUCGUUGCCCUUCAGCGUAAGCAUUUGGAUGCCGUGGCAGCCGUGCGUGUCAACACGCAGGGCAUAGUGAGAAUUAACGCGCAAGAGGGGUUAAGAGCUGCUAAAACCGCUCGAAAAUUCUGGUUAAUGCAAUCUGCUAGCGAAGCCAACGUCAAUGCCUAUCGGGCAAUGAGUACCGAGAUGUCUGUGAUUAAUGAAACACUAGCAAAGCUUACGAUGAAUGCUAUUAUUUGAUUUGUGUUUUUGUUUUUUUAAUGUUUUUUUCUUUUAUUUCAUGGAGAGGGUAUCUUUUGUUUUAAACUGCAUGUAAUAAAACUUUUUUUCUUUUAAUACCUGACUACUUAACGUUUUUUUUUUUUUUUUUUUUUUUUUUUAAAUAUUAUUAUUUAUAUAUAUAUAUAUAUAUAUUUUUUUUUUUUCUAUCUAUUGGCAU